rnacentral:rRNA from 1 species
UACGUAGGGUGCGAGCGUUGUCCGGAAUUACUGGGCGUAAAGAGCUCGUAGGUGGUUUGUCGCGUUGUCCGUGAAAACUCACAACUCAAUUGUGGGCGUGCGGGCGAUACGGGCAGACUGGAGUACUGCAGGGGAGACUGGAAUUCCUGGUGUAGCGGUGGAAUGCGCAGAUAUCAGGAGGAACACCGGUGGCGAAGGCGGUUAGCUGGGCAGUUGCUGACACUGAGGCGCGACAGCGUGGGGAGCAAACAGG